rnacentral:piRNA from 1 species
AGAAAGUGACCAGUCAAACAUUAUCAGAAC